CCUAGUACAUAUUAAGAAUGCAACAGUGGGUAGCAAUAUCAUCAAUGUUAUAUUCUCCACAAAAAUUAACUUUAUCAUUAUCCUUCCUUAAUAUUGUUGUUAGACUGUGACUGACGCAUCACGGGGGGCGGGGGUUGUACACUGUGUGCAGGAAAAGUAACCAGAAACAUCAGCCCUAUGAGAUCAUCAGGAAAGACCUAAUGCUUCUCACUGGACAGACAAGAAAACCCACACUCAGCAGGGUUAGGAGACCUUCUCCAAGUCACGUAGCUAGUAAGGGCAGAGCUGAGAGUCAAACCAGAACCUCUGAUUCCAAAGCCAGUUCUCUUUCCACUACACUGCACGGCCUCUGGGUGUUAGCAUUUCCAGGUCCCACCUACUUCCAAAUAUCUAAGGUCAAAUAGGACUUUGGAUUCCAAAUAUGCACACUGGGACUGCCUGUUCCCUUCUCUCCAUUCACAGGUAUGUGGCAUUGUGGGCCCAUGGGGCAUUCUGCCCAGGCUUCAGAGCUCUCGGAUGUGCCUCCCUUCCCCAAGCUGUCUUCUCUGUCAAGGGCACAGAGUGGUUCCCAUAGAGACCAAAGUAACCUUUCACAGAGUUGUUUCUGCGUCUCUCCCUGGGAAUGGGCUGGGAUUGCUAUCAAUCUCUUGCACUUCAGAAGUCCAGAGAAACCAAGGCUUUUGUGCUUUGUAGACACAUGCCACAAAAACUGAGCACACUUACCAACUGAACAAACAUCAGAGUGUGCCAAAUCUCUAAAGUCCGAUUCUUAGUGCAAACUGCCAAAGCAGGUAACACUUACAGUACUCAGAAGGUCAUAAAUCGUCUAAGCUCGAUAGCACCUGAGGCCUCUUCUAGUCUGAACUAUUUAUUUUGCAAAGGAGGAAAUAUGGGCAUAGAAAUGGGCAGGAACAAAUGUCCAGGCUUUGGUGAUAGUGGUUGUGGGGUGUCUCCUGGGUCCCAUUCCGUCAUCCUUCUCAUUACACCCAUAUACGUCUUCCUGGAGCCUCAUCAUAAUUGGAUACCCCUUACAGAGACCAGCUGCCUGAGACAUAGACACCUGCUCAGGACGUUGGCUAUCACUAUGGGGAGGCAUUUUGACACAGGCCAUUGUUAGUGAUUGGGAACACCUCCUAAAAAUGAGAUGGUCUGAAGGGGUCCCAGUACUUGGGGGCUGUGUGUAAUAGGAGCCUUAAGAGAGGCUCCUAGACUAUCUCUUGAUUGCCUGUAUUAUAUUUUGUGAGAAUGUAAACCUACCUCACUAUGAAUUUUAGCAAAAUAAAAUUUAAAAGAAAACAACCAAAUGAAAAGAGGUGUCAUACAGAAAAGAAGUAUGGACAAUUCUAGCGAUGUUUCAAGAAUAGUGUUCAUCACUGGUUCUCCAGUACACAGAGAAAUGUGCUGGAGAGGUUCAUUAGGAUUCUUGAGUCAAGCCAAAGGCUACAAUCAGGCAUGUGGUUUCAGGCAUCCAGUAGCAGAGGUUAGCUCUAGAGUGGGGCCGGAAAUAAACAUUGCCCCAUGUACCUACCCUACCCUUAGCUUAGUGCCUCCCAGUAGGUGGAAGGGAAAUCUUAAGGAACCAAGAUGGGUUGAUCAAUUCCAGGAAGCUUUGAUGUUUUCAAAAUCCCAUAGGAUAUUGAAGUCAUAGAACUUCCCAGGGGGUUCCUGAACCAGAAUUCGCUUCAAUCAGACAGACAGGGAACAUAUCUACUGUCCUCUGUUCUCCACAUUUUCUCAUCUUCUGAACCUCCACUUCCAGUCCUAAAUCAGAGAUAGGCAACUCCCUGCAGUACGGCGAUACCACAUGCCAGAGGGCUAAAGGAGUUCUCUCUAUUGCACAGGACCAUUCACAGGCAAUGGAGUGAGUCUGAGGGGGAUCUGAAGGGGAAAAUUGCCUUUUGAGCAUACUAAAUUCCAUCCCAUUUAAGGCAGGAGACAGUGUCUCUUUAUUCUUAAGCUUCCAUUAUCCUCCUUGGUACCCAGUGCGUGGAAGAGACUGAAUAAACAUCUGACGGAUGACUAGGUAAAUGAAUGAAUGAAAGAAUAAAGUGAGUGUUUGAGUUAGUUAGAAAAAGAGUGAACUAUAUAGGCUAGAGAAUGACUGCCAAAAAAACCACAAGGGCAUUGCAAAAUCUCCAUAAUACACACAUAAAUGUUCAUGCAUUCUAUGAUGGAGAAAGAAGUUCAUCUGUUUAUAUAAUUCCUAUCAAAACUGUAUUUCCUCUUAUGUUUUUUACUUUCUUGAACUCUUUAAAACAAGAAACUUUUAACUCUUUUGUUCUCUGAACAUUUAAAAUAACUUUUUGGUGUUAUUUCUUUCGUUUUUUCUAGCCAGUGAAAUAUUUAUCCCAAUGAGCUGUUUUUCACUUAACCUUGCUUAGUGUCUUUGUCUGUAGUCACCACUUGGCCUUUUCACUACUAUAUGCAUUAACACCCAGGUAGGAAAGAGACAAAUGGAAGCAAAAUAGCAAAAUGGUGAAGAGGAGGGUUCUAGAGGCAGAGAGCCCUGCAGUCCUGAGUCCUGAGUCCACCGUUUAACAGAGUGACUUUGCUCAGCCUGUGGAUUAUAAUGAAACUUGCCUGUAAGUAUGAUUAUGAGUAGUCCUGUAAGGAUAAUUCAUUGCAUUGUGUUAAUCACACAGUGAAUGAUCAAUGAAUUUUAGUUACUGGUAUCAUUAUAUUGAAUUGCUAUACUACUGUAUUACAUUAAAUCAUAUUGUAUCAUAUCAAUCAUAUCAUCUAUUAUAUAUCAGUAGCAUAUCGAUCGUGGCCUUGUAAAACCAGUGUCUACGGAUGUGUUGAACAAAGCCACAUCCUCCACAGAGUCCUCCUCCAAUCACCUCCUUAACUUUCUUCCCCAGAUUGAGAUCGCACCUUAUUUCUCUCUUAUGUAAAUUCUGAAAGUAGUACCCAGUGGUCUUCAGGGAGAGAAAUCUUGUUUUUUCUCUGAAACAACAUUCAGCUACACCCAUGGCUGGGCUCUCCUGGCCUUCCCUACAUGUGUCCCCCUCCCUCUCAUUCAGGAGAGGCCAUUUGAGUUCAGAGUCCUGAUGUGAGGCUUGCGUUUGAGGAAGGAAAACCACUUCAAAUCUCAUUUGUUGACCUGACUUUCACCCUUCCCCUCCAGCAUUCCAAACUCCCACUCACAUCAACAAGCUAGAAUUUUAAACUUGGUUGGAAUUGUAAAAGCUUGAGGUUAUUAGAGCUCAAGGAUAGGGCAGGAGCUGAGUCUGACAGCUUGUUUUACUCUCCGCACUGAGGCAAUCAAGGCCAAGGCAGUGUCAGGGAAAGGCCAGGUUUUCUUGUAGCCUUGGGCUGUUGGCCUUAUGCUAGGGAAGGGAGGUGGAGCUGAAGAUUUGGCAUCAAAUUAGAAAAAAUAAGGUACACUGAUUCACUCAACUCUGUGCUUAACCCUGUGGCAAACACGUUGGUUAACUUCUCCUCUGCUCUUCUUUUCACCUUCUUUAGGUUAUAGGAUCCAGUUUUUUAGGUGGUAGCAACAUGCUCAAGGAAGAUGCAGCCCCUUCCUCCAGCCUGAGAGAAUAAAGCAUCAUUGGCUUAUGCCAACCAUGGCAAUCCCAUUCCCCUUUUCUCAUGAUUGAUUUGGGAAUGGGCAAGUGACCCAGUUCUAACCAAUGAGACGAAAGAAAAAGUCUAUUGGUCAGCUUAUCUCAGAAGAUUUUUGUUUCCUGCUAUAAAGAGAAACAGUAAGUUCCUUCCUGCCUGACUUAAAUGCAAUUGUGUGCAAACAUGUUACUUGGAGCUACAGCAACGAUUCUGUGACCAUGAGGCAAUAAGCCAAGGACAAAGGAUAGAAUAGUGAAAAGACAGAGUAUUGGAUUUUUUUUAUGAUAUCAUUGAACUGCUGGACCAAUGUGGAACCAUCUACUUUUAGUCUUUCAUGAUUUGUGAGAUGAUUAAACAUUUCUUUUUUUUAGCCAUUAUUUCUUUUCUGUUACUUGCAACUGAAGACAUCCUACAUAAUACAAACACUAUCCAACUUGGAUUGUAAUUUAUCUAUUUUCAGAUCUGUGUGUUCUGUCUUACUGAUUUUUGUAUUCUUAGCACUGAGUAUAAGGCUGCUACUUAGUAAGACUUCAAUAAAUGACUGUUUAAAAAAAAAAAAA
rnacentral:lncRNA from 1 species